rnacentral:rRNA from 1 species
CAGCCGCCGCGGGAAUACGAAGGGUGCAAGCGUUAAUCGGAAUUACUGGGAGUAAAGGGCGCGUAGGUGGUUAUUUAAGUGAGAUGUGAAAGCCCCGGGCUUAACCUGGGAACUGCAUCUUAUACUGGGUAACUGGAGUGCAGUAGAGGGUAGUGGAAUUUCCGGUGUAGCGGUGAAAUGCGUAGAUAUCGGAAGGAACACCAGUGGCGAAGGCGGCUACCUGGACUGAGACUGACACUGAGGCGCGAGAGCGUGGGGAGCAAACAGGAUUAGAUACCCGAGCAGUCCCUGUCUCUUAUAC